AGAGAGAGAGAGAGAGAGAGAGAGAGAGCGGAGCGGAGCGGAGAACUGCGCGGAGGGACGAGUGAGAAGCGCCGUGCAGACGAAGACAGCAGAGAGAGAGAGAGAGAGAGAGAGAGAGAGAGAGAGAGAGUGAGGAGGGAGAGGGGGAAAGAGAAAGAGAGAGAGAGUGAGAGAGAGAGCGAGGGGAGAGAAGAGAGGGAAGCAUAUCACAGUCAGGCAUCAGACGACACCCAGGGCUUUGAGCGCGGCGGGAAGCAGCCCAUGGAAGCAGCAGCAGAGGGAGCUCAUUACUCCGGGAUAACACCUGCCGGGAUUGGGAGCGCCGCGCCAGGGAAGGGAAUCCCAUUACGGAUGGAAGCUGCUUGCCGGAGCCUCGGCGCUGGAUGUAGCAGGCCCUCACAGUCACCGUGGCUCAGAAAAGCCAUUGAUGGGGCCUUGCCUUGCAACACUGUAAAGCAUCUUCAAUCAAUUGAUUUGAAAAGCCCCCCCUCGCUAUUGCCAGGCGGUUGAGGAACGAUUGUUGGUUACGGUCGCGUACACGUUUGCUUCUCCCCUUCCCCGCGACACAAAACCCCCCAUAAAAAAAACGAAAACAACGAAAACAAAAAAAAAAUGGCAAAACAUAAAAACACGAAAAAAAAAGCG